rnacentral:rRNA from 1 species
CCUACGGGUCGCUGCAGUGGGGGAUAUUGCACAAUGGGGGAAACCCUGAUGCAGCGACGCCGCGUGAGUGAAGAAGUAUUUCGGUAUGUAAAGCUCUAUCAGCAGGGAAGAAAAUGACGGUACCUGACCAAGAAGCCCCGGCUAACUACGUGCCAGCAGCCGCGGUAAUACGUCGGGGGCAAGCGUAAUCCGGAGUUACGGGGUGUAAAGGGAGCGUAGACGGUUAUGUAAGUCUGGAGUGAAAGCCCGGGGCCCAACCCCGGGACUGCUUUGGAAACUGGUUAACUGGAGUGCAGGAGGGGCAGGCGGAAUUCCUGGUGUAGCGGUGAAAUGCGUAGAUAUCAGGAGGAACACCGGCGGCGAAGGCGGCCUGCUGGACUGAAACUGACGUUGAGGCUCGAAAGCGUGGGGAGCAAACAGGAUUAGAUACCCUAGUAGUC